UUUCGCAUCGUUCGGUGCAUUCUGGGGGACUGUUUCGGCUUUUGGUGGCUUGCUUGGCCUUUUGGUUGGGUGGGUYGUUACUAGUCGGGGSGGUCUCCACGGGGAUGAUUUCCGGGAAGGUGCAUGAGUGGUGUUUGGUUUGUUACGUGUGGAUGGCUGUAUGCUUGCGCAACAACGUCCUCGCUGCUUACCUCUUCAGUUUUGUGGCAAGAAUCGGUUUUCUUGAGCAUAUUGUGGGUUUUCUGUGUUGCAUACCUAAUCGAUGGUAACGUGUGGGUUUUAUGAAUUUCCUAUUCGUCAUGCGCCGUCCAUGCGGCGUGGGAUGAACAACGAAGCGGUCUUUGUGAUCCACCGUGUUUUGCUUUUGCAACAACCAUGUGGCCUAUGAAGCAUCGUUGGUGUCUUGUAUACGGAACCUGUUGUGGGCUUGGGUCUUUAUAAGAUCUUCAUUUUGCCUUCGUUAAGCGUUYUUGCUUCUCCAAAACGAUUGCCUGCCAUGUCUYGGCUUGUCCUUGCAUGGUKGGCUACGUCGA
rnacentral:misc_RNA from 1 species